GACGAACGCUGGCGGCGUGCUUAACACAUGCAAGUCGAACGGAAAGGCCCUGCUUUUGUUGGGUGCUCGAGUGGCGAACGGGUGAGUAACACGUGAGUAAACUGCCCUUGACUUUGGGAUAACUCCAGGAAACUGGGGCUAAUACCGGAUAGGAGCUACUGCUGCAUGGUGGGGGUUGGAAAGUUUCGGCGGUUGGGGCUGGACUCGCGGCUUAUCCGCUUGUUGGUGGGGUAGUGGCGUACCAAGGCUUUGACGGGUAGCCGGCCUGAGAGGGUGACCGGCCACAUUGGGACUGAGAUGGGGAGCAGACUGCUACGGGAGGCAGCAGUGGGGAAUAUGGCACAGUGGGCGGGAGCGUGAUGCAGCAGCGCCGCGUGCGGGAUGACGGCUUUCGGGUUGUAAACCGCUUUCGCCUUUGACGAAGCGUGAGUGACGGUAAUGGGUCAAGAAGCACCGGCUAACUACGUG
rnacentral:rRNA from 1 species